ACAUAGUACUAGAGCCGUUUUACGCAAUCGAAUACCGCCGGAAGUAGAACAUUUAUGUCAACACCGGUUUCGUAUUUCACGUGAAAACGGCCUAAAACUGAGAGGUUAUCAACAAAUUAUAAAGUUACGGGUACCAUGAGGAUUUGUCAUGCAUUUAAACAACAGAAGUAUAAGCGAACAAAUGACACAUUACAUUGGCUGCAGAAGCUUGAAAAGUUACAUAGAGCAAGGACGGUCAAAACAAUGGGAUAAUGCUUCUAUGGUGUCCUACAUGUCUAGUCAGGUUGACAGAAGUGGAAGAUGGUCUAGUGGUACAAUGAUGUACAAAUGAUACUCUAUAAUAGGUUUAACAUUUAAAAGUGUAAAAUGUUCUGUGGAUUCAUAUGAUGGGAAUGCCAGUGUUAUUCUGUAUGGUUUAAUUAAACACAGAUAUUGAUACCUUCAGGUAUGUCUAUGAAAUCUUCAGUGUCACC
rnacentral:lncRNA from 1 species